rnacentral:rRNA from 1 species
GUGGGGAAUAUUGGGCAAUGGGGGCAACCCUGACCCAGCAACGCCGCGUGAGGGAAGAAGGUUUUCGGAUUGUAAACCUCUGUCCUAUGGGAAGAAGGAAGUGACGGUACCAUAGGAGGAAGCCCCGGCUAACUACGUGCCAGCAGCCGCGGUAAUACGUAGGGGGCGAGCGUUGUCCGGAAUUACUGGGCGUAAAGGGUGCGCAGGUGGCCUGACAAGUCAGAUGUGAAAUACCGAUGCUUAACGUCGGGGCUGCAUUUGAAACUAUGAGGCUGGAGUGCAGGAGAGGGAAGCGGAAUACCUAGUGUAGCGGUGAAAUGCAUAGAUAUUAGGAGGAACACCAGUGGCGAAGGCGGCUUUCUGGACUGUAACUGACACUGAGGCACGAAAGCGUGGGGAGCAAACAGGAUUAGAAACCCCGGUAGUCC